rnacentral:rRNA from 1 species
UACGUAGGGUGCGAGCGUUGUCCGGAAUUAUUGGGCGUAAAGGGCUCGUAGGCGGUUUGUCGCGUCGGGAGUGAAAUCCAGCUGCUUAACAGAUGGGCUGCGGAAGAUACUAUGGAGCUAGGAGGCGGGAGAGGCAAGCGGUACUCGAUGGGUAGGGGUAAAAUCCGUUGAUCCAUUGAAGACCACCAGUGGCGAAGGCGGCUUGCCAGAACGCGCUCGACGGUGAGGGAUGAAAGCUGGGGGAGCAAACCGG